rnacentral:lncRNA from 10 species
GGAUCUUUCUGCUGAUGCAGCUGUUAAGAGUGUUUCAUAAACUGUGACAACACUAAGCAAAAUCAUAGAAGGAAACUCUAUGGACAAUUUCAGAUGGAGAAGAAGAAAGGACUGGAAGUUCAAUUUGGCCAUGACAAUUAGACUUGAAGAAGCUGAGUGAGAAGGCCAUGCAGAUAUCUUGGAGAAGUGCAUUCCAGGCAGAGGAAAAGCCAGUGCAGAGACACUGAAGCAGGGCAUGACUGAUGUGUAUAAGGAGCAUCAUAUACAUGAUCAUCUACAGUCCACUGAGGAGAAUAGCAGACGAGAGGCCAGGUGCAGUGCAUGUAAUCCCAGCACUUUGGGAGACUGAGAUGGGAAGAUCGCUUGAGGCCAGGAGUGCAAGACCAGCCUGGGCAACACAGCAAGACCUUGAUUCUACUAAAAAAAAAAAAGGAUCCUUCAACUUCAACAAUAAUAACACAAGGGAAGUGAAGAAAAACACUUUCUAAGGAAAUCUCUCUCUGAGCUACCAUCCUGCUAGGGAGAGCCUGAAAGCAGAAUGCUGACUUGACUAGCUCUGGUCAAUGAAAGAAAUCACCAGUGGAAAGGCUACCAGGGGGCUUUCUCAAAAGAGAGGGACAGUAAACUGCAAGAUGAACAACUCAAUGCCAUCCAGGUCUGGAUGAGAAAGAACAGUCGAGAGACUGAGUUUCAGGAGUGGAAACACUCAAAGCAUCAUCUUCCACUUUCUUCUCCGGCUGCUAGGAAGAAGGGAAAAACACAGACCUUCUGAGGACCUGCGGAGCAAACCACUGGCUUCAGAAAAGCAAACAGGGACUUCCCUCUGCGCAGCAGGAAGCAGUUAGCCUAGUCGGAGGCUUGACUGAAGAAACAAAUGUAUCCACUGAUAAUGGGCAAGAGCCUGAGGCUCUGGAGCCAAGGGGGAACCCUAAAAAGCUGAUUCAAGUAAGAGAACCAAGGAUCAUGCAAUUCCACAUGGCCACCUCGAAGCAGGAAUCCGUUAAUGAUAGUAAAGGACUGAUGAAAAUCCACCGGUC